rnacentral:sRNA from 1 species
UAAUGGUUAUCUUGAGUACUUCGAGCUC